GCUCCGUGUUCACUUUUACUGAUGCUAACUUUUACUAACAGACUUUUAAAACGGAAUUCACACUGUCAGACUGCCAAUUAAUGGGUUAUUUUUAAUCCAGGCUUCUGGAUGGCCAGACAGAUCACCCCCACCAGCUCAAACACGCAGCUUCCCCCAACCACCUGCAGGGCCAUGAGUGGAACAUGGAGCGAGUCUGAUCUGAUGCUGCUAAUUAACAUUUGCUGGAACUGGAACUCUGUGGAUUGGUUUCACUGGAAGCAGCUGAGGUGAAGAUCUGAGUCAUGGAGGGAGAGGGGCAGGGCAGGAGUCAGGCCACACAGCGUGAUGAUCCCUGGAAAGAUCCUGAGGGUUAGAAGCUGAGAGUGAUGGUCACCUUCACAGCCGCUGGUAGGGCCGGGCCUCGGUGGAUUGGGGCCAUGUGACAAGUCGGUCACCACCUCAUGGUUUAGCCUCAGUUGCCUUUGGCACUGCUCCUUCGUCAUGUUGAGGUUGCUUUAGGUUUGAACGUUGGGAUAUCUUUGGGAGUGAGUGGUUAAGGAAAUUUUGCCAAAUUGUGAACCAGAGCAACGGGGCCGCUUAUGUGGCACCAGCCCAACGAUGUCGUCAUCAUGAGGGUUAAGAUUUGCCUAGGAACCAGUCACCUGCUGGACUGACAAACAACGGCUCAUUGGAGUGAGAAAAAAAGUUCAGAAAAAAUACCUGAUCUGUUAAAAAGGAAAUUUUGAAAACUGCAAUAAAAGCAAAUGGAAAUGG